rnacentral:rRNA from 1 species
UAGGGAAUAUUGCGCAAUGGACGGAAGUCUGACGCAGCGACGCCGCGUGAGGGAUGAAGGUUUUCGGAUCGUAAACCUCUGUCAGGGGUCAAGAAAGGGCGGGGGAGCAACUGCCUCCGCUUUGACCAGCCCCAAAGGAAGCGCCGGCCAACUCCGUGCCAGCAGCCGCGGUAAUACGGAGGGCGCAAGCGUUAAUCGGAAUCACUGGGCGUAAAGCGCGCGUAGGCGGCCCGGAAAGUCAGGGGUGAAAGCCCGCGGCUCAACCGCGGAAAUGCCUUUGAAACUUCCCGGCUUGAAUACAGGAGAGGACGGCGGAAUUCCAGGUGUAGGAGUGAAAUCCGUAGAUAUCUGGAGGAACACCAGCGGCGAAGGCGGCCGUCUGGCCUGUAAUUGACGCUGAGGGGCGAAAGCGUGGGUAGCAAACAGG